CUUAAAAAAAAUUGGCAUCUCCUCAUUGGAAGAAGAGAUCAAAUUUCUUCAUCUAGACUCAGUGGACGACUUUUUGCCUCUUCUUCGAAACAACAAAAAAUCUCCAAGACUCGAUUUAGGAAAAAAAAAAUCAUUACAAUUUCGGAGCUUCGUUUACUGGAGAAAACCACACCCAUUUUCAAGAUUCAAUAUUUUCCUCUUAGAUUUAGAAGAAGAAUUUGAGGAAUUCAAGGCGAACCCAGAUGGUCGUUACGAAAUCUCCGUUAUUGACUCUAGUAAUCGCUUCUUUAGGGCUUUUCUUUGGUUAUUUUUUUGAAAUUGCUGAGUCUCAGCAAAAUCUGGAUCUUUCACCACCGCCUCCGCCGCAUUCUCCUCCACCUCCACCCCCCUCACUUUCUUCUCCUCCUCCACUAUCUCCUUCCCCACCACUUCCUCCUCCAUCCCCAGCUACCUCCAGGCGAGUUCCACCUUCCUCUCUCCAGCCUCCUUUGCAUUCAAGAAAACACCUCCGGCCUCCACCUCCAGAGAAUUCAACCUCCGCACAUAGUAAUAGAAAUCAACACGACUUGCAUAGGGCCAUCAGGCCACCACAGAAGAAAGAGAAGUCCAACCCAGGGAAGAAAAUUGGGCAAACAUUUGUAGGAUUUGUCACGAUCUUGCAAGUGUUUGUGGUGACAUUCUUGUUGAUUAAGAGAAGGCAAAUUUUGAAGGCCGAAGUCAAAUAUUGAAAGUAGCAAAAAUAAAUCAUUUGAAUCAACAUUACCUCAUCUGCAAUCCUUUUCGGGUUGAAUUCCACAGACUUUUGAGAUUAUCUAAUUUCCGGCUCGGACAUGGAGACUGGUACGUCUAAUGGAUUUGCGAAUUGAUUGGAGUUUUGGUUUCUCAAUAUGAGUGACUGCUCUUGUAAAUCGGUAAUUCCUAUUGCCAUUCUUUUUUUCUUUUUAUUUUCUUUUUUCCCCCAGUUUUCUUUGUUCAUUUACUGAGUUUAUUAACAAAAUAUUUGUCACGGCUUAAGCUCAAACCCAAGCUUCACCGCAACUGUAACACAGAAACGGACUCUGCCCAGCUGAUUUUAACUGUAACUCAACCAAAUUAAGAAGAAAAUGUAAUGAGUGAAGUUCAACCUGGGAAUGAAUUUACUCAAAACCAGUACCAAAUUAAUAAUCACAACUCAAGGAGCUAAGAUCUCAGCCCAAUUGCUGAAUUAAUCAAGAAAAUUGGGAAUGGGCGAUGAUAGAGUUAGAGGAGAAAGAAGAAGAUACGAGAAGUAGAAGAAAAUAGAUUGAUAGAAAUGAUUUUACAUCCACGCAGAGACCCAUUUCUCCCCUGUUCUGUACAUAUAUGACUUGAAAUACAAAAUGAAUGGAAAUCGUAUUCCCUUUACGAAAACGCAAUAAGCAAAUGACACUUUUGUGGACCCCACUUUUGAAAGCUAGCUACGGUCGGAUCUUUUCCUUCUUUCCCCCCAAUUCUUCCAUUGUGUUGCCACUGCCUCAUCAUGAUAGAAAAUAGAAUAUGGGGAGGGAGAAAUUAGAAAAUAAGAAGAACAAGAUCAGGAUAACUGUUGAAUCUCUCAACAAAUUUUUACUAAAAUGUCAGAUUAUUACAAUUCCAGUUAAACCAAAACGACACCGCACUACUUCACCAAACGACGUUGCAUGUAUAUAAAUUUCAGAGAUUACUGUUGGUUCGUUUCUUCCUUCUUCUUCUCCCUUCUUUCUUCUAGCUUUGAAUCCUUUCCUUCCCCAAUUGCUCCACAUGACAAUAUUUUCCUGUGUCAUUAUGCUCUUAAUACAUAAUUUUAUGUCUCUUUCAUUAUUGUGGCUAACCUUAUAAAUGUAUUCCCAAAUGCUUCGACUUGUCGUGAGCCCAUAUGGUCUGGAUUUUACUGGCAAAUCUUUAAGGCUUAUAAGGAGAAUUGAUUCUCUGGAUGGUUGGACAAGUGGAAUAAAGAAUAAAGAUUAAACUAAUAUAGGUAUCAUUAGUGAAUGUUUUAUGGGAUAUGUGCUUAUUAGAUUAAUGUCAGGCUUGUUAGAUGAUCAUCUCAUUUAAAACGGAUAAGCCAUUACUUGCAGGAUUCUUUUUCCUUGAAUUGAUUAAAGGGGGCUGUUUGAAUGAAGGUAAUCAACUUGUGGACGUGAACUGUUUAAGUAAGUCAACUUUGCUAUGUGUAGAAGGAAAAAUUGCCAGGGGAAUUUGAUGUAGUACAUCACAACUAGAAUUAAUAGUUUUCUACUACAAUUAUGUUUUAUCUUUUCUAAGAGUUUAUCUUUUAAGUUUUUUUGUAUAGUUAUGAUAGGAUUUUAUUUUUUAUUUAAUUAGGAUUAUAUUUUCAGAUAAUUUCAAUUUCUUAAUACCAUUAGAAGUAGGGAAUAAUUUUGCCCAUAAAUAUAGGACUAUUGCACACUUUUCAUAACAUCAAUCAUUAUUCAAUCAAUAUCAAAGUAAGUUAUUCCAAGAAUUUUAUUAUCGCUUCCGCACCAGUUUUAGUCAUACGUAGUUGUGACACUUGUUUGUUAUUAACCAGCAAUGAUGUUAUUGUUAUUAAGUUUGAUUGUGAGUCUUCAAGAAAAAUAGUUGUUGGAACUGUGAAAUUGUUGGGAUGUGCAUUUUAAUCUGGUUGGAAGCCAGAGCAAAAAUGAGCUUAGUGGUUGAGGGUCUAAUUAUUCCUAAUCUCUAUGAGUAAUUAGAGGGAACUGAGUUAUUUGACAAAAGAAAAGUGUGUUGUACAAAAAAUCUCUAUAUAACUCAUGCAUUACUUACUCUUGCAUGGAGAACCAACUGCACAAGAUUGCAUCUAAAGGGCCUUGAAUCAUAUCUAGAAAUGAUAGAAUGGUGGUGUUGACAAAGGCACUUUCAUUUGCAAAAGCACUAUCAGGUCACUAAUUUUUUACAUAUAUUUUGGGACGAAUAUACAGGAAUAAAGGACCAUAGAUUCUUUCUUUAUCCUGAAUGGAAACAAAAUAAACGUUCUUAUAGCUAGGUUGAACACCAACCACCGGAAACCUCAAGUUGCUACAAUGCAAUUCAAUUAAGUGUCAGCAAAUCAUUCCAUAUACAUUUCCUGAUUUUAGCUGCCACUCUGUCUCGUUGCGAAUUUCUUCUUCUAUUGCUAGGUGCUCUUGGACCACAUCUAUUUAACUUUCUUUGGUGGCCAUUCUUUUAGGAGAAUGUGUGAUUAAAAAGGAGAGAGAAAGUUUUGGGUUUACGCGCAGAAUAUUUUAUUAUAUUAAUGUGGUUGAAAAUGAUAUUUUUAAAAAAAGAGAUUGAAAAGAAUGGGAGUCAAACCGGGGCUGCACUGCAAAAAUUGUGUGAUCAGUCUAAUGAUAGUUGAUCGCUCAAACUAUUAUUAUUAUUAUUUUAUUUUAUUUUUAUUUUUAUUUUUAUUUUUUGGGAACCAACAGUUGAGGCAGUUAACAGAGAACAUAAUCAGCAUACCAAAAUGUUGUAUGAUUCCACAUCCCAAAUUUUUGGUACUUGAUUCACAAAGUUUCUGAUAGAAUUACUUGUCUUUGAUAAUUCCAAAAGGAUUAUUAUUGAUCUUGAGUAGCAGGUGUAUAAUGCUGGCGAACUAGCUGAUUUUAAAAGGUUUCCCUGUGCAGUUUUUCUGAUACUAUUAGGAACUAACAAUAACCUCUUCAUAUUAUAAUUUGAGAAGAAUCAAUUUUUUCGUCUAUUUCAAGCUUAAACGGAAGUCAUAAGUUCCAUACUAAAUGACAUGCCUCAUCACAAAUAGCUAGUGUUUCUCAUUGUACUUCGACUUUCAAGUGGUGAACUCACAGUUUAAUGCACAACUUCUCAACAUUCUUCUACAUAAGCAAUCAAAGUCCAAUUGGAAGAAUUAUACUGAGCUAAGCUAAUUCUGGAAUCAAAAUGUUUCGAUUCUUGUUUCCAUUAACUCUCCUUGUUUUCACUUGCAAUGCUUCAGUGCAGGACUUCUGCGUAGCAGACUUUAAAGCUCCUGAAGGGCCAGCAUGCUCAAUAUCCCGGACUCAUUGGCCUAUGUCUCUCAAUUGCACGAUUGGACUUAGCCCCUGGUGGUGUGAUAAUACCAAUGCAAACCCAUCCCGGGGCUUCUGAACUUCUCCUUGUGAAGGGUUCUAUGUUAUGGCCUUCAUCUCUUCGGCCAACGAAGUUUACCUCAAGAAAGUUGAUCUUAUGGUAUGCCCACAAGGGCUCUUGCAUUUUCAGAUAAAUUGAGGUGGUUGAAAAGCAAUUGCUUUUGCAAGCUUUAGCAGCCCAAAUCCCAGACUCCAAAUAACCGAUUUUGCAUUCUUUGCAAACAAUUUACCUUCUAUGCUGGAGGAGAAGACCACAUUUCUUGAUGAUGCUACAGUCAAAACUCGAAUCUGUUCCUGGUGGCACUGGCUAAGUUUGCCAAUCAUUCAUUCUAUUUUGAUUUCCGUUUAGAGUUAAGUUUUGUUGCCUUGUAAUUGUUCUCUAUGAUUCUGUAUUCCCAAUGAUGUUAACACUUAAAUCCUCCAAAUUCUCGCAGAAUGGUGUAGCUACCGAAAUUAAUGCAGUCAAUUAUGUCUCUCCUAGAAGUUGGAUAGCUGCCUCAAGUAGUCUUCACAUUGGAUCUUCUCAGUGGCCAACAAUCUUCGAAUGAAAUUUGAAGAUCAGGUGGUCCGCCUCCCAUGGUUUGGCUGACAGGUGACAACAAUCAAUCAAGAAGUACUCCGUUUGCAAAUGGCCCACCAAACUACGAUUUCUACUACCAGCUCCUUGGCUUUGCCAAGACCAUAAACAACCUAAACCAUCAUAUUCCAGAUGACAGAACUGAGUUCUUGAGAGUACUAAGAAGCAUGCAGCCCAAAGGAGUUGUUCUUUGCUAAAAUAACACAGAUUGUAGCUGCAACAACUGCAGAGAUUCUGGAAAGGGAUUCUCGAGGGCAGUGGAAUACUUGUGGAGGUUUUUGGACUCGACAAGUGUAUCAUAGAACGGGUUUGAGAGUGAUGAAAGAAGAAUGAUGGAAGCAGAAGCAGCAAAAGCAUUGACAAAUGUGGCAGAGAUGAAAGGAAAGAGAAAUGGUGUGAGAGAGAGAAAUGCUGGCUUCAUUGGAGAACUAUUUGGAGAAGAGACCACUGAUGGAGCCAGGGUAUUGCUGAGGUAAUAUGACCGCAAUUGGAAAAUUAGAUCAGAAGACAGAUUACUGUGUCAGCCUUUGGUGGAAAGGACAGCCAGUAUAGUCUUGUUCGUCAUGGAAUAUAGAUCAGAUUACUGUGUCAGGCUUUGGUGGAAAGGGCAGCCAGUAUAGUCUUGUUCGUCAUGGAAUAUAGAUCAGAAACCUUGUUAUAAUCGAUGCAGUUGUGGCAUCAAUCUUCUCUUUCCCUGUUUCAGAAUGAUUUUGACAAUGUUUUAUACUGAUUUCGACAUGCUAAAUCGUAAAACUCAAGUGCAUCAAUCUUCUCUUUCCCUGUUUCCGAAUGAUUUUGACAAUGUUUUAUACUGAUUUCGACAUUCUAAAUCCGUAAAACUCAAGUCA
rnacentral:lncRNA from 1 species